UAUAUAUAUAUGACAAAAUAAAGCAAUCAUGUUGCUUAACAAAGCAACUUCUGAAAUCGUGAUUAGAGAGGAUGUAAACCCUAGGAAUUUAGAGGAAUUCCCAGGGCUGCCUCUGUGGUAUCAACCUGAGAAGAUGAUUUAAUCUCUCUAAUCCCUAUUUCCUCAUUUGUAAAAUGAUUGUAAAUGUGGUACCUGCUUAAUAAGGUUGUGAGGGAAUUAAAAUAAAUGGUGCGUUAAAGCAGUUAGCACAGUACCCGGCACAUUCUAAGUGCUGGAGGUUCUAAAUACUUGGUAAUAGCUAUUAUUACCAUGACGGUAGAAUGUGAAUGGGAACAGAAUAUCUUUUUUGCAGGAAAACACUGCCAUCUCAGGCAGAUAAAUAACUCUGGCUCUGGGGAUGAUUUUUAAUGAAGACAUUUUGAUUCUGAAAGUGUACUCAGCAGCCAGGACUGAAAUCCAAGUUACAUCUGGGACACACACACACACACACACACACACACACACUCAACAGGAAUAAAUGGAGGUUCUCAUUCAUGUCUUAAAGAACACUGGAGAGACUUUCAGCCUCAGCAAUAUGGUGGGCUGAGCUAAAAGGAACCUCCGCAGCUUCUGGGAAAACAGCUUAAAGCUCAGAUUAAAAUAAAGUGCAAAUAAAAUUGCAAGUCAUGGUUGAACUCAUAAAGAAAGGAAAGAAAUGAAGACGGACCAGACAGCUGGUGCCAAGAGAAGGAAUGACGUGCCUGGUGACUAUGGGGCUAUGAUCGGACCAGAAACUGGCAGGGCCGGACCAUUGGUUGGAAGCUGGGUCAGAGGGGUGGGGUCCAACAGACCUCUGCUUGGACCUGCCCACACUGCUGGACCACUGAAAGGCACCAGUGGCUUUGGGUGAAAAACCAGUCAACCCCCCAAAACGGAACCCCCCAAAGCUGCAUGCCAGCAUUACAUGGAGUUUAGAACUUAAACUAAUAACAACCUCCGAAGGAAUUAACUGGAAACUUGGUCCCAAAUUGGUGAUGACCCUGGGGUGCCCCGCCUAGGCCCACACAAGCCAGCUCUGAUCCAGCCUUCCACCGCUCAGGCCACACAGAAUUCCUACAGAAAACCCAACUCCUCUAGCAGAUGAGCUCACUGUUGCAAUCAGAAACGCAUUAAUUGGGCCCAGGUUGGAUUCUAGUCGUGUUGGUUUGUUUUAAUGUGUUUAAUAGAUUUUCUAGGAUAUGGUUCAGUUCAGUUUGAAAAUGUUCUUUACCUGUGCUUUGAUUUCAAGAUAAUCGUCUCUCCACUUUCUGACCCGUGAACUCAACAUCUGGGUGUCUAAAGCCUAUUGUGACUUAUUUUGUGACUGAUAUUGGCCUGGCACGGCACCAGGGGUGCCCAUUUUUUGUCCCUCACUGAAAUGUCUGAGUUAUCAAUGGGUAAACAGAAGGUGAGGCGGGUCACUGGCCACUCAGGGACCUUGGGCACUCGGUGGCAGGGCCAGAACUCCAGCCCUGCCCUCUCCCUUCCUGAGAAUUGGGUUCUCCAUCAGACCUGACGGUGUCUCAUUCUCCAACUGAGUGAUAAAGACAGGCACGUGGAUGACCAGGGAGAGGAAUGACCAAAGCCAAGGUCCUCAAGAGUCACCUGGUCUUCCCAGCACCCUCCCUGGAGGCCCACUGGAUGCACUGCCCAGCGUGUACCUGAGCCACCAGCCAUUGACAGUAACUUCAGCCACACUUGGCUCCAGGCCCCGGGAGGCCUAGGAUGCCAGGAGCUGCCUGGGCAGCACCGGAGCCAGGUUGGGGGCUGGUUAAGACCUUUGCCGUGUCCUCUGCCUCCAGGGAAGGAGUCGUGCUGGGUCCUGUGGGGCCCCCAUUGCCCCUGACUUUGCAAGGCCCAUUUGAAGCCUGUUUGCUGUCCAGAAGAAGGAGCUGGCUUCCUGAGAAGGCAAGCAGGUUUAUUUGUGUGGCCGGCAGCGAGGGCACCUGCUGGCCUCAGCCUGGAACUCUCUUCCCUCCACCCACCUCCCAGAGGCCGACCCCGACCAGCCCACCUGAAACUGCACCCGGCAUCACCUCCCACUGUCACCCUGCCUGGUGUCUCCCUAGCACCCCCCCCCGGCCUUCUGUGUGUUUAGUUGUCUGUGGCUUGAUUUCACCUACAGAAGGUCAGCCUCCUGAGGGCAGGAACCACCUGUUCUGCUCAGGGCUGGAUCCCUAGAGUGAAUGGAUGAAUGGCCCAUUUCAUCACAGCCAGAUAGACAGAAACCGACCCCCAGCCUCUGUGCACCUUAAAGGGAUUAGGGCUCAGAAAGUGGUGCUUUGGGUUUACUGUUCCCCUCAAAAUUCAUGUGUCAGAACCUUAUUUCCUCAAUGCAGCAGGGUUGGGAGGUGGAGCCUAGUGGGAGAUGUGUGCGUCACGGGGGUGGAGCCCUUAUGAAUGGAUUAAUGUCUUUAUUGAGGGAAUGGGUUAGCUAUCUAUCUGCAGAGUUCAGUCUCUUUUUCUCUCACACACUCCACUUCCCACCAUAAGUUGAAGCAAUACAAGGCCCUUACCAGAAGCCAAGCAAAUGUUGGUGCCAUGCUGUUAGACUUCUAGAACCAUGAGCCCAAAUAAACCUCUCUUCUUUAUAAAUUACUCAGUCUCAAGUGUUCUCACACAGUGUCUAAAACCUGACCGAAACAAAUGGUUUUCAAACUUUAAAAAAAAAAAAAAAAGCUAAAAGAUUUUCUUUAAAUUAAUUUAGAAAGAGACUCCAUGUAUGAGAUAGACAAUAGCAGGUCUAUAUUAAGUUGAAGCCAGGGCUUCAGGUGUGUCCUCCUCCUGAUUUUCUUCCCCAUGCACAGAACUCUGGUACUUCUUGGAAUAACAGUUUGAAAACUAUUGACCUAAGUGAGGUCCAUUUCCAUCUAGUCACUUCCUCUACCAGAAUCUAAAUACAAUCACCUGAAAAACGAGGGAAUCAGAUCCAUGGGCCUUCCUUCUUCAACAUCCUAGGGUUAUAUGUCACAUCUAUAACUGAAGAAUAUUCUCCAAGAGCCAGGCAAACCCCAAAAUAGGAAUCAGAGCGAUGCAUUCACUGUCACCGCCAACAGACAGCAAUCAAGCAGGUCUUGUUCUACGGGCAGCACGUGGGAGCCAUGGGGCCCAGCAGAUGUGACUGACCAACCCUUCAUCUAGUUGAUGAAACGAGACAGAACAUUUGAAGCAAUCAGAACAGGACAGCAGCCAGUGCUGGGGAUACGUGGACGGAUUCUGUGGGCAAACUGGACAUCACAGCAACGAGAGAAGGAGCCGGGUGAGGUGGGUGAUGUCAGCCCCCGCUGGCCCACAGACUGACUUGAUCCUGUGGUCGUGAGUCACAGUCUUGGCCCCAGGAAGGGGACAGAGUGUCUCCAUCAUUUUAGAUGACCAGUUAUGGUUUGUGACAGAGACUGCUAGCUGUCCCCAAUGUUCAUUCUCCCCGCCUUUCAAUGAACCCCCAAUGGCUGGCUGGACUCGUGGCUUUCCAAAGCGACAUCUGCAUUCCCAGCCUCCUGUGCAGUCAGGUAGGGCCUGUGACUAAGCUUUGGUCCCUGGGAUGUGGGCCGCCAGGAUGCGCAUCAUCUCUGAGUCCUGCCCAGGGAGGGAAGGGGUGUGCCCUGUGUGCCCUCCCUUUCCCCUUUCUGACUGCUGGAAUGAGGACAUGGCCCUCUGGGACCCCAGGAAGAGGCCACACCUGUGAGCAAGGUGAUGGGAGGGGACUGGGUCCUGACACUGCACAGCGGCCACACCAGCUGUGGGGGGCUGAGGACAAAGUCUCCAGGGCCAAGAGCCCCCCUCUGUCUUGGUGAAGCCUCUGUGGACCCAACUAAGGCAGUUGACCAUCAGCCCCUCAGGUUUGAUGCCGAGAGCUUCUGCAGCCCAAACCUGGGGGCACCACUGCCUCCCAGAGGGAGGCUGUGGGAGGGGAGGCUAAGUUGAGGAUGGUGGAGGCCGAGGGGUUCCUGGAACCAGAGGGGGAAGAAGGGGUGCAGGGAGCGUGGCUUCUGGGGCCAGGCCACCAUAGGUUGGAACCCUAACACCCUCAUUGCUAAACUCCCCCAAGAAGCCCUCGUGAGAGUGAUGUGCGUGGCCAGUCGGGCACAAGAUCCAACUGCAGGAAAAUUCUGUAGCUUUUGUUCUCAGAAUCCAGAGAGCUGUCCUGAGGUCUGCGCCCUUCUGGUCUUUGGGGCAAAGACCGGCCACCCUACAGCAGAUGGAUUAAGGGCCUGAUGGCAAUUGGGAGGGCCUGAGAGGAGGGGACACGGGAGGGGGGCCUUGAGGAUAGAGAGAAGGAGCCAAGACAGAGGAGUGAGGGGAUGAGACCUCUAGAAGAGGGGACAGCGUGCACAAAGACACGGGGACACAUCUUGCCCUUCUUCUGGACCUAGAGAAGGUUCAGAGGAGAAAUGGCUGGGUUGUGAGAGUCUCAAUCCGGUCAGUGGAUUCAACCCCCCACGGGAUUAACUGGGCGGUGACUGAGGGCUGGUCGGGUGUGGCAGCAGAGGUGGGUCCCUGGGGUCGCGCCUCCGGCAUAUGUAUUUUGUAUCUGGUGAGGGGAGUCUCUCCCUGCUGCCUGGUCAUCACGUGAGCCACUUCCCUCCCCCACACUCUUCCGCCAUGAUGUUCUGCCUCACCUGAGCCCUGAGGAAUGGAGCCGGCUGCCUAUGGACUGAGACCUCUGAAGCUGUGAGCCCCAAAUAAACUUUUCCUCUUCUACAGUUGUGUUUGUCAUGUUUUUUUAGUCACAUAGCAAAAAACUGACUAAAACUCAGCUCAGUCCUGCCCUCCCCUCCCCCAGCAGGGGACCAGUCACUGCACAGCUGCCUGCGCUGCUCAACUGUGUGCUGCAUCCACACCAACCAACCUGUGCCCCCCCGGGGCCACUCUGCAGGCACACCCCUUUAUCUAUAGAGAGAGAAAUGAAAGCUCUGCAGAAGCAAAGCCAAGAGAAGGUACAUGCAACUUCUUUGUGAGUUUUAGGUUUUUAGAUUUCCAAAUAAAAAUGAUCUAAAAACCUCUCUACUAAAACAAAGCAAUGUUGGGUACAUAGAGAUGACAUUUGGUUUUUCAAUAUAGUCAACUGUGAUAAAGGACAUAGAGGUUUGUUAUAUUGUUCUGUGCAAUAUGUUUAAAAAUUUUCCAUAUUAAAAAUUUAAAAAUGGACAUGAAUGUUCACAGAAGCAUUGUUCAUUAUAGCUAAAAGUAAAAACAAAGCAAAUGUCCAUCAUCUAAUGAAAGGAUACAUAAAUGUGGUAUGUCCAUUCAAUGGAAUAUUACUCAGUCAUGAGGAGGAUUAAAACACUGACCCCUGCUACGACCCGAUGAACCUUGAAAACAUUAUGCUAAGUCAAAGAAGCCAGAAACAAGACCACAUAUUAUAUGACUCCCUUUAUAAUAUAUGUCCAGAGUAGGUAAACCUGAAGAGACAGAAAGUAGAUGAGUGGCUGCCAGAGACUUGGGGGAAUGGAGGAGUUAAGAGGUGACAGCUAAAGAACAUUUCUUUUGGGGAUAACUUAAAUGGUCUAAGAUGGAUUGUAGUCGUGAUUUCACAACUUUGUGAAUAUGUGAAAAAUCACUGUGCUAUAUAUUUUAAAGGGGUGAAUUGGAUGGUAUGUGAAUUAUAUUUCAUUCAAAUUAUUUUUUAAAGUGGUGGGGGAAGGGGAGAGAAAGAGAAACAGCCACAGGAGCCUCUGUACCACACGACUCCACAGUUUCUCAAAGCGGGCUGUGUGGGGAUGGGCUAAGGGGACUUGGAGGCCAGCCAUUGGGCCUGCUCACCUAGAGGACCUCUCAGAAACCCAUCCAACCCAACGCUGCUAUAGAGAAGCUGUUUUUCUCGACCCUGAAAAAACCCACUUCCCAUUAAUAAUCAGAUCCAGAGACGUGGCUGGUCCAGUAUGUGAUGGGUUGUUCCAUGAGAGGCCCCACCGGCUCACCUCCACCGCCUGCUCAGACUCACGGAACCUCGCCCAGUGAGAGAGCUUGGCUUUCCAAAAAGGACUUGGUCUCCCCCUUGACCGCACAUGGGCACCACCUGGGGAGCCUUCGUAGCCAGGGAUGCCGGUGCUGCCCCAGAUUACUUAGUGAGGGGAGACCCUGGCAGUGGAGGUGAUUCUAUGUGCAGUCAAGAUGGAGAAGCAUCGGGCUGGGGCUCAGCGGCAAAGCGCUGGCCUAGCAUGUGGGAGGCCCUGGGUUCGAUCCUCAGCACCACAUAAAAAUAAAUAAAUAGAAUAAAGAUAUCGUGUCCAUCUACAACUAAGAACUAUUUUUAAAAAUCUCUAGGAGAAGAAGAAAUAAAAGAUUGAGAAGCAACAAUAUAGGGUCCUGAUGAACAGUUUUCCAUUGAAUGUCAGUGUCAAAAUGAAAAGAAUGUCAAAAUUGUGACCCAGAGUAUGCUGACUAUCCUGUCAUGACGGCUCCGUUUAGACUUAUGUUUACUCAGUCACAAUAUAAGCAAGGCUUUGUCACUGUGGGUUUCAGGCCAUGAGCUGGAGACCUCGGGUACCUGGAGCAGUGGCAGGGGGCCUUGCAGCCUGCUCGGGCCUCUCCGGGGCGUGGCUCUCUUUCUGGAGGCUUUCCCACCUGGGGCAGCCGUCCCUGGGCCCAAGCCCACCUCCCUGAAACCCCAACUUCAGCUGACCUGCUCUGUCCCCCACGCAGUAACACCAUGCUGCCGCACAGAAUGGCUUUGUCAUGUUGUCCUGCCGCGUUCUUGCUCAGAGGCCUGGGUUCCUGCCCAACCUGCCUCUACCUGUCUAGCUUCCACUCACCCUCCAUCACUAGCUCAUCAGUUAAUUCCAGGCGGCUUUCCAUGACUGGAGGUGUUUGCUUAUUGCUUUGCCUUUUAAUUUUCUAAUAUCCAGUUGGAACUUUGUUGUGUGUGUGUGUGGGGGGGGGGGCUUAUUUGGUGGCUGCCUUCAAGUUCCAGUAGACUGUCAUCGCCUUGAGGGCAAAGCAGUUUCUUUUGGUUUGACAUCUUUGCAUCCUUGGCAGGACCUAGUAUAUGCUCAACUAUCACUGUGGAAAGAAGGGAGGGAGAGAGCAAGGUCUUGCCAUGCGAUUUAUAUGGGAAGAAAUGUACAAGCAGUAGCUUAAAUAAGAAUGGGAUUUCAAGUCUACCGAAUAUCUAUUCUUCAGUAAGAAAAAAGUUAUUUUUCAAAAUGAUACAAGUUGUAUUUUGGAAAAAUACAAGUUGGAGAUAUUUUUUUAAUUCUAGUUCAGAUUGGAAAUUUUGGAAGCCCACUAGUUGUCAUGGAGACCACCAUGUUAAUCAGGUGGUCAUCAGGUUAAUGAAUGAAUGAAUGGACAUUUGCUGCAUCUCUGGUGAAAACCAGGCAUGAACUGAAAUCGAAUUCCAAGCAUGUAUGGUUUUGUCAGGAUGAACUCAACUAUUAUGUACGACUACACUGCUCUAAUGUAAAAAAGAAAGAGGGCUGGGGUUGUGGCUCAGCGGUAGAGCUCUCCCCUAGCACAUGCAAGGCACUGAGUUUGAUCCUCAGCACCACAUAAAAAUAAAUAAAUAAAAUAAAGGUAUAAAGAAAAAAUAAAGAAAAGAAAACCAGGCACUGUGUUAAGCACUUUACCAAGGGUUUCAAGCCUCCAAAUCAGCCCUGUCACAGAACCGGCCAGUCAGGAGUUGGACCCUUCACUGAGUCAGCUUUCACAGGGACAAACAGCCUCAGGACAGAAGAGCUCAGUCUGGGAACAAAGGACAGAGAUGUGUCCUUGAGGGGAUAGUCCCUGGAACCAGGAGUUUAAGAAUUUUGUUAAAAAAAAAAAGAGACUAAGAGCCAGAUGUGGUGGUGUAGGCCUGUAAUCCCAGCGACUCUGAAGGCUGAGACAGGAGGAUCGUGAGUUCAAAGCCAGCCUCAGCAAAAGCAAGGCGCUAAUCAACUCAAUGAGACCCUGUCUAUAAUAACAUACAAGUAGGGCUGGGGAUGUGGCUCAGAGGUCGAGUGUCCCUGGACUAAAUCCCCAGUACCAGAGAGAGAGAGAGAGACACUAAGGGGCUAGGGUUGUGGCUCAGUGGCAGAGCACUUGCCUAGCAUGUAUGAGGCACUGAGUUCUAUCCUCAGCACCACAGAAAGAAAGAGAGAGAGACACUAACUCUGGUUACAGGCAUAUAGCAUUACUACUUAUGCAUAAAAUACCAGAUGAUCUACUGACAAACUUUCAGAACUCUCGGGAGUGUUCAACAAGGUCCCUCAAAACAAGAUCAGUAUGCAAAACCCGUCAACCUUCCUUUUAUCAGUGAUAGUCCAUUAGCUCUGAAAAUGCCUCAGAAAAAAAAAACUCGUGGCAACAAAAACUAUAAGACCCUCAGAAACAAAUCCAAUAAAAGACACAAAAUCUUUACUGAAGGACAAAAAGACCAGAAUAGAGAGACAGAUUCUAUUUAUAAAUAGGAAGAAGCACUUUCAAUCAAGAUCCCAGCAGAGUGUUUCUCAGGGUAGGACAAGAAUAAUAGAGGAAGCUGGGCACGGUGGCGCACGCCUGAGAUCCCAGCACUCUGGAGGCUGAGGCGGGAGGAUCACAAGUUCAAAGCCAGCCUCGCAACUUAGUGAGACCCUGUCUCAAAAUAAAAAUAAGACUGGGGAUGUGGCUCAGUGGUUAAAGCAACCCUGGGUUCAAUCCCUGGUGCCAAAAAGAAAAAAAAAGAAUGAAGGCAAUAUUUGCAAAAUAAAGAAGAAGGAAUAGGAAGGGCUUGCCAUAUGAGAUGUGUCCUUAUUAUACAGCUAUGAUGUUUAACACAGUGUCAUUUGGUCCAGAAAUUAGGCCACUUAGACAAAGAAACUUUGAGAGACUCCAAGGACAGUCUCAUAGGAAUGCAGGCACUUGAACACACCUAAGGCAGUGUUCUAAGUGAGCAGCAAAGUAAGGAAUUGGGUCUUUCCCUCAUCCUACAUACAAAAUAAACUCCAGAUGGAUGAACCUAAAUAGGAAAGACUUAAAAUUUUUGAAAGACAACGUAGAAGCAACCAUGUAAUGAAGGUUAAAAAAUACAAACUGUAAGAGGAAAAGCUGUGUCCAUUUGACUUUGUGAAAAUUUCCUGAGUGACAAAAUAUAGCACAAAGAAAAUGGCAAGCCUCAUAGUAGGGAAUCUAGGUGCAAGGCUACAGCUGAUAACCAGUGUAAGAAUUCAUAAGGAACACCUAGAAGGUAAAGAAAAGGGUAACUCAGGAGCAAAACCCAAACAGGGCAAGGUCAUGAGCUGGCAAGUCACAGAGGAGGAGGGUCGGUGAACAGGUAGAGGCUUACCCUCACGAGCAAUCCGGAAGCCAAAUCCCUGAGAUCAUUCCAGGUGUGUUAGAUUGACACAGAACUUUCCAGUCUGACACUACCAAGGAAAAAUGACUCUGGGGGCGACAAUUAGAGCUCCUACAGGCUUCUUGGGGUUAAAUUGGUACAAUUAUUUUGGAGAGUCAUUCAGCUAGAUGGAGCUGAUCCAGAACCUGCUGUCUACACAGCCAGCAUGCCCGCCCUGACAUACCAGCAUGACUUAAAGGGGAGAGUGUCGACUCUGGCCAGACUGGGUUCAAAUUCCAGCUUUUCCAAGUCCUGCUCGUACGACCUCAGGCAAGUGAUGUCACUGCUUGGAUGUCACCUCCCGCUAACCACUUAUAGACCCCGGCUAAGUGCAGUGGCAGCCUGUAAUCCCAGCCCUUCUGGAGACUGAGGCAGGAGGAUCACAAGUUCAAGGCCAGCAAUUCAUAAUUUAUCAAAGUAAAAAAUAAAAAGGUCUGGGGAUGCAGCUCAGUGGUAAGAGACCCUGGGUUCAAUUCCCAGCACUACCAUUACAACAAAUGAUAAUAAUGAUGUAAAACGAAAUAUGGUCCCCACUUCAUCCUCUGUCCCUGUCCUGUUGUAAUUCAUUCUAGAUUCUAUCACUUCCUGACAUUACAUUAGAAGCUUUCUUGUUUGAAUGCUUAUUAUAUUUCUUUCUUUUUUUUUUCCUAGAAUUUCUGCUCCAUGAGGACCUGGAAGAUGACCAGGGCUGCUAUCACAGCACCUGCUGACGUCCCUGCGAAGCGAUGGGCUGUGUCCAGCAUCCGAGGCGCCAGAUCCCGAAGGGCAUCCACAACCCCAGCCUGGUAGUAGGAGAGGAAUCCACUGCCCGAGAAGGAGAUGGAAUGAGGGGUGUCUGGGUCCCCCUUGAACACCUGCUCUUCCAUUGCCUCAGCCUCCGGCCUUCCACAGGAAGGAGGGACCACGGUUCAGAGCCUGCUCGCCUCAGCCUGGCCUGCCAAUCCCUGUGGGAACUCGCUGUCAGCUUCCCUGCCAGCCCAGAGCCUGGAAUGUGGCCGUCUCUACUGGGUUGGCCCGGGGAACCCACGGGUGGUUCAGACAGCUACCGCCCGGGCCUGUUCAACCCUGCCAGGUGGCAGUCUCAAAGGUUGGAAAGGGGCCUCUAACUCAGGAUCAGGUGCAGAAGGUCCUCCAAAUCCAUGAGCAGGGUCCUGGUCCUGCGACCCUGCGGCUGGCUUCACUGCCUGGCUGGAUCCAUCUCUGGCACCGGCUCCCCAGCCUUCUGCCUGUCUCUGGAACACCUAGGAGUGUUCACGGCUCCCUGACAGGGCCAUGCCCAAACAGGAGGAUGCCACUCAACCCUCCACAAGAGGCUUUACACACCCAGUUGCAAAACCUCUGCCAGUGGAUCCGCGUGCGCCUCCCUCUUUGAUGCGCUGCUGUGGUGUAGGAGUCACAAGCCACCUCCCUCUAGGACAGCAUCCCCUCCCCCCAGAGGCGAGGCUGCCCGUGUGGGACACCCACCUCCCACGCUCCUCCCGCCCCUUGCCCCUCCCUGGCUCCUCCAGGCUGUGUGGUUUAUGGGAUGUGCUUUAUAAUUAUUUUUAUUUGUUCUUACAUAAGCAUCCCUUUAUUUAUUCACUUGUUUAUUCUCAUUCUCAUGUUAGGAUCGCCACAGGCAAAACUGUAAAGGAAGAGAAGUUUGGCUUCAGGGCUGAGACCACCACACAUUUCCACCUCUGAAGUCCUAGACCCCUUGGCUCUAGGGCAGUACUCUCUCACUGAUCUUUCAGGCUACCUCUAAGUGUGCAGGAAGAAACCAACCUGAAAUCCAGAUCAUUCUGAGUCUUUGGGAUGCUCUUCUUCCCGCUUUGAAAUGAGAAGCUGGAGAUGGCAAUAUUUAAUCCCCAGGAUGAACAGCUUGGAAGGUCCCCUGUGGGUCCCCUGGGUCAGGGCAGAGAUGUUUUGGCAAGGGAGAUGGUGCGUGGGGACCAGGUUAGCUACAGGGGUGUCCUCCCUCCCUGGAGGAUGGGUCUUCUUUAAAGGCCCCCAGAUUUCACCACUAAGCACUAAUGUGGAAAGACCACAUCUCUCCACCUCUCCACUCCCCCAGACCACAGUGGCAGGGGCAGAACUACAGUGGAGACAGCAAGUCCCCACCCACUUCCAAUGGAGGCCAGCCUCUGAGGAGGAGGAGAGGUCAAUGCCUUCUCUGGUCCUGGGAGCCUCACCAGCUCUGGUGUCCUCCUGGUCUAAACCGGACUUCCACAUUGAGGGCAGUGGCUAGGAUUCAGUUAGGAGGGCAUCUUCUGUCUUGUAUUGAUACAAUUACCUCAGUUUCGGAAGAGAGCUUUUGAUGAGACAUGUGUGCAACAGAGAAAGUGUGUGUGUGUGUGUGUGUGUGUGCCCGCGUGCCUGCGCGUGCCAGCAGAUACAAGGCAAACAUCUGGGAUGAAGACUGGGAGUGUGACAAGGUGGCCAUUGGCUUUCAGAACAGCAGACCCCCCUUCCUGGGAAAGUCAGGUGGUGUGCCUGUCAUCAGAGAGUAGUAAAGUCCAAAGCCUCUGGAACCGAUGGACCUGGAGAUAAGGUGGAAUAACAGAUUGAAAGAGGAAAGCUGUGUCCAGGAGCCACACGCAGGGGGAGCCUGGAGCCUCCUGGGACAGAGGUCCUCCUGACAGUCCCAGUGAACCAGAAGCAAGGCCACCUGCUCUACCCGGCUGCGGUGGCCUGUGUUCAACACUGCUGCAGGGAGGCAUGGCCUCCGUGCCAGUAAACCAGGAACCCACGACUGUACCCAUGAGAAGGCCCCCCGGGCUGUUACCCUGGACCCUCAGGGUGAGACCAUGGAGAAUGUUCAGCUCACUUCCCCUUGUUCCUGGUGUCACACUCAAGGCCCUCAGAACUUCGAGGGAAUGACAUCGAGGAAGAAUCACUUCCCGACACUUCUGCAUUUGAUUUGAAGAGUUGUGUUGUGAUCUUCUCAGGUGUUUUUUAAAACCAAGUUCUCACUUCUCAUAUGACCCAUCGGUCAUAUUAAGAAACAAGACUGCUUAUUGCAUAUAAUUCCAAGACAACCCAAAAUCAAUGCACAGAGGCUGCAGCUGCCAUAAAUAUGAGACUUACGCAUAAGGUCUUCGAAGACUUGCGGGAUUGCUCUUGGGAAGGAGGGUGUGUUUAGGUUGGCUUUUCAAAGAUGGUACAUCACCUCUGCUCACAUCUUGAAAACAGAAAUUUAGUGGAGAACCUGGUUGCUACUUGAUACAAGAGUGUGAAUGUCACAGCAUCACCAAUCGAUAUUAUUAACAAAAAUAUUUAACCUGAAUCUGAGGCCUAACUUCCUGUUCCCAAUAUAUACCAAAUAUGAAGGAACAAGUUAAAUGCUUCUGGGUUCCAAUAAUUGGACAAGUUGAGACUGUGGGGAGGACUGGCAGAAACCAUGGCUGGCUACACAGCAGCUGCCUCCUGCACACUUGUUCCUUGUCUGAAUCUCUGUAGAGCAACUGAGAAGGCUGAGACCCAAUUCCCCAGCCUCCUUUGCAGCUAAGGGUGCUGUUUUAGUCAGUUUUUUUCACUGCUGUGACUAAAGGAUCUAACCAGAACAAGUGUAGUGGAGGAAAAGUUUAUUUGCGGGCUCGCAGUUUUAGAAGUCCAUAUAAGGCUGGCUCCAUUUCUCAAGGCUCUAAAUGAAGCUAAACAUCAUGGCUGGAGAGUGUGGCACAGGGAAGCAGCUCACAUCAUGGUGAUCAAGAAGCAGAGAGUCCAAUGUCCUCCGAUGAUCCCAGCAUCGAUCAAGAACCAUUCAAGAAGAAUCAAACUUGCAUAGGUGCUUGCUUUCUUGUUCCAACUUUUAGUCCAUCCAAGCCAUCAUCCUAUUGGUCAGUGCUGCCCACACUUAGGGAGGGUCUCCCUUUCAAUUGGCUAUCCCACGUGCCAAACAUUCCUAGACACACCCUCAUUGACACACCCAUAAGCCUCUUAAUCCUUGGUAUCUCUUAAUCCGAUCAAGUUGACAAUUCAAAUUGACCAUUACAAGUGCUGAAGAGAUCCACUUUUAGGAGAAAACCCUCUCGAUGGUGCCUCAGGAAGAUUUUCCUUCUUUUCUCUUUCCUCCCCUAUCUGAAAAAUAAAAUACGGUUGUCACAAUUAAUUGAAUGGCCCUCUAAAACUGUAACUUGCCUUUUGAGGUGUGCAAAUUAAUUUUUGAAUACUUGAUCAACAAACAUACAGGCGGAUCCUCUGUGAGGUGCGAGUGUUCAAAACUUUUCUAAAAGUCAGGAAUUUUAAAAUGUACAACUUAAGGGGCUGGGGCUGCAGUUCAGUGGCAAAGCACCUACCUAGCAUGCUGAGGCACUGGGUUCAAUCCUCAGUACCAUACAAAAAUAAACAAAUAAAAUAAAGGCAUUCUGUCCAUCUACAACUACAAAAAAAAAUUAAAAAUAUACGACUUAAAGAGAGAGAGGGGGGCAAACUUUGGCCCAGUUGAGAUUAGGACAGAGCUUGCUAACUUUCCAUCAGGAUGUCCUUUUGUAUGAACUGAAAUCAUCCAUGCAGCCUAACAGUAUCUUCUUCUUCUAGUGAAACAGUUCAGACAGACAUUAAAGCUCCCAAAAGAGUACAACUAACAUCCACGUAGCCACCAGACAGAUUAAACGAAUCGUAACAUUUUACUACAUUUUGACCAAAUAUUUAUUUGGUUUUAAAGAAAUGAAACAUCACAGAUGGAGGCAAAACCUCCUUGGAACUCUUUGCUGAUCUCAAUCUCACCUCUUCCUCCAUGGGAAACCAGGUUCCAGAUUAGUGAGUGAAUCUUUCUUGUCCAUGUUUUCACACUUUUCUUUUUCAAGUACAAGAGAUGGAACCCAGUACCCACUGAGUCACAUCCUCAGCCCAUUUUAUUUUUUUAUUUUUCAGACAGGGUCUUGCUAAUUUGCUUAAGGUCUGGUUAACUUGCUGAGGCUGGCUUUGAAUUUGUGAUCUUCCUGUCCCAGCCUCCCAAGCUGCUGGGAUUAUAGGUAUGUGCUACAUGUUUUCAUACUUUUAUUACAUGAAUUUUUUUAUAGCCGCUCAGGAGGCUGAGGCAGGAGGAUCGAAAGUUUGAGCAACUUAGCAAGGUCCUAAGCAACUUAGCAAGAACCUAUCUCAAAAAAUAAAAUAAAAUAAGAAGGGCUGGGGCUGGGGAUGUGGCUCAAGUGGUAGCGCGCUUGCCUGGCAUGCUUGCGGCCCGGGUUCGAUCCUCAGCACCACAUACAAACAAAGAUGUUGUGUCUGCCGAAAAAACUAAAAAAUAAAUAUUAAAAUUAAAAAAAAAUUGUCAAAAAAAAAAAUAAAUAAAUAAGAAGGGCUGGGAUUGUGCUCAGUGGUUAGGCACCCCUAGGUUCAAUCCCCAGUACAAAAAAAAAAAAAAAGCCAUAAAUAUUUUAUAAACAACAUGUAGUAUUGUUUUAUAAAUAUUUUUACAUUCACAUAAACAGACUACAUUGCAUUUAUUUUGCAACUCUGUUUUCAUUUAGCCUUAUGAUAUGUGGUUUGGUCUUUUUUCUGUAGUCCUGCCUUUUGAAACCUUGGGAUAAUAUAUUUAUCAUGAUAGAUGCUUGGGUUGUCUCCAGUGCUUUGCUACAGCCAACGACACCAGAGAGAACAUACUUUGCACUGUAUGGGAAUUUCUCUGGUCCCAGUGUGGGUGUAUCAGUUGUACCCCUGGGGUUUCAACUUACAGAAGUGACUGGGUUACACCACGGAGAGGCUAAUGCCAUUGAUAAAACAUCUUGUUGUUUACAUUUUCACCAAGUUUGAUCAGGAGGCAGAAGGGGUGAGCACAGCCCAGAAGAAUCUGUUGAGAAAGGCCUGGAGGGGCAGGGAGCAGUUUAGGAUUGGCUAGUGGGAAUGACGUGGGCGGGCUUAGGCCACAGGGCUUAGGGCAGAGGGUAGGCGCCCGCCGGAGGAGGUGGCUCAGGGGUGGGCUCUGAUUGGUUAGUUUCCCAGAGGAGAACUUUGAUUGGUUAGUUCAUGGAGGGCUUGUCGUGAGCCCUUUGCCAGCUCCAAGAAUUGGCAAGCCUUGGGAGGGGCAGUCUCUUCCCCAGUCGGGGAGGCCACACGUGCCAGAGCAUGGAGAACGCACAGAAUAAGAAACUCUGGUUCAUAUCCGGGCCCUUCGGUUUGACGGGGCGUUGCCCUGUGGCUGUCUACACUGGCUGCACCAGUUCCCCCGAGUGUCUAGCUGAGGUUGAAUUGCCUCACUGCUCUUGAUAAUACUCGAUGAAAAACAAUUUGCGAAUCUGAGGGGUGUGAAACACUACCUCCUGGGUGUUUAAUGUGUAUUUCCCACAAAUAACCAUAUUUGUGAGGCCAGGCAUCAUUCCACGUGGUCAUUCUGUUAUUUCACUCUGCCCUUCUUGUCGCUUGCUAACCUCUUCCCAUUUGGGUGGGAAGCCAAUUGGUCUUUGUUAAUAACGUGUAAACUUUGGAACUGAUAUUGGCUCCAUUCAAUGCACUGCAAAUAUCCUCUCCCACUUUGUGGCUUCUCUUUCAACUUUGUGAUGUUGUCUUCUGUGGUCCAAAACGUUUUAAUUUUCAUUUUUGCAAUGUUAGGAACUGAAACCAGGGCCUUGCACAUGCUAGGCAAGCACUCUACCACGGAGCUGUGGCCCGAUCCCUUAAAGGUUUUUUUUUUUUUUUUUUUUUUUUUAAUAUUUUCUUAGUUGUAGUUGAACACAAUAUCUUUAUUUUAUUUAUUUAUUUUAUGUGAUGCUGAGGAUAGAACCCAGCGCCUUGCACAUGCUAGGUGAGUGCUCUACCGCUGAGCCCCAGCCCCAGCCCCCCAGCCCUUAAAGUUUUAAAUUUUAAUAUAAUAAAAUGUAUCAGUCUUUUCUUUCAUGGUUUAUGGAAGGCAUUAAGAUGCUCUCCGUAUAAAAUAAAAUCCCAGUUACUUUAAAUAAUUUAACCAUCAAAGUCUAAGCUAUUGUUCUGUCUCCAUAGGAAAGCAGCAGUUUGGUGGGCAAUUUGGCACCGUUUAUUUAAAAAUCAAUACUUGCCGGAAUUUAUACAGCAGAAACAUUCACAGGAGCCCCCCACCCCAUCACCAAAUGUAUGCACAAGAUUGUUAAAUAACAUCAUUUGUAACAGCAAAGAUCUAGAAGGAAUCCGAGUUUCAGUGGAAAGCUGGUUAAAUGAAUUAUGGAAUAGCUGCAUAAUGUAAUUCUCUGCCUCUACAAAAAAGAAUAAGGCUGAUUUGGAUGUGCUCAUAGGGAAAGUUCUCCAAGAUGUAUUGGUAAGUAGGGAAGGAAAUAAAAGGACCCAAGCAGUAAGUAUAAUAUGCUACCAUUUAUGUCUAAAAGGGAAACUUUUUUCUUUAUGUAUAUGCAUGUAAAAUUUCAAAAAUAAAACUGCUGAGAGAAGGAGGCUACAAGAGGACAGGGCUUGAGGGUGGAGGGAAACCCAUUUGCCACUGCCAAAAUCAUGGGUGGUUUUCAUUGUGGCUUCCAUUCUGGCAAACAAAGAAGAACCUCUGGAAGAUCACAGUAGCUAUUGUUUCUGGCAUUUGGAAUAGUCGGAGGUGAAGGGGGCCUUUUGUUCCAACAGCUAAGAAGAAAUCGAAUCAUUAGAAACAGGCGGGGGAGUGGGCGUCUCCUAGACAGUGUCAUUACAGGUGCAUUGUGGGCCAGUCCCAGGGCAGGGCUGGUCGCGACCCUGCUGAUGAGGUUUGGGCUUGCUGAUGUCUGGGGAGGGCAGGAAGGGUGAACAGCCUCCCUCUGUGGGGGUUGUCUGUGACACAGAGGUGGAUGGGAUGGAGUGGGGCACAGGGGGUCGUGAUUGAAGAUCUGAGCUGAGAGCAUCCACCUGGGCUCCUGAGGUCCGAGAUCCGGGCUGGCUCUAGGAUGGGGGUCUCUUCGCAGUGUGUGGCUGUGUGGAGGGAAGAAGCUGGGCACCCCUCUCCCUGUGGAGGAGGAGAGCCCAACCUCGGAGGUUCUGGCAGGCAAUUCUGGAGAGGAAGAAAAGUGGUGCUCAACCCGGGAAAGUGCUCAUCCAGUGAGUGAGCAGCAAGCCAUCUAAGGUCACCCCGCUGACACUAAAGGAGGAAGAGGGACCGGGCGGCCUCAUGGAGCAAAAACAAGACAUGCAGUUGAGUCCUGCUGGCUUUUCCAGGGCAGCACAGUGUCGCCAGUCUGGGAACUGGGUUGUCUGAGCUCAAGCCAUAGCCGUGUGAAUGGCACACCUGGCAAGUUAUUUAGAUGCAAGUUUUUGCUAUUAAAAAAUGGGAGAAUAAUAAUACCUCUGUAAAAGCACGUACUCAUAGGGACUUGUCCUGGUACACAUUAAUUGUUAACUUGUUUUUACUUAUUUAUUUGUAAAUUCAGCCCAGCUGGGGACUUGGACAGUGGUAUGAUCAGCACAUAGAGACUGAAUCUGUGUCUGAGGUGGAUGCACGUUAACCAAACCCACAAACCCAAUAAAUAAGCUGCCCAUGAGUGUCACUAAGUCCAUUGAGAUCCCUGCUCUGCAGAGCACAGACCGUGCUCAGAGGUCCCUUGCAGGACAGGAUCACGUCUGCAUUCUUGCUUAUGUCCAGGGCCAUUCCUGCUACUCGCCUCUAAAAUGAGUUGGUCCCACAGGAUUCCAGUUCAUGAAUAUUUGCCGCAUGAGAAAAUGGUUACUGUGGUGCUCUCUGCAACAGGCAAGACUGGAAACAAUCUAAAUGUGGAACAGCAGAGAGCGUGUUAUUAGAUUGUGGUUCCAUCACCUCACAAAACAGAAGAAUCAUGGCAAAGGACAAUUAAAAUGGUGAUAUAGGAAGGUGGAGAAAUGCUUGUGAUGUAAUUUUAGAAAAACAAAAGAAAUCAAAAUGGUCAGGCCGUGAGAUGGAUCUCUGUUUAUGACAUUUUGAGUGAUAAAGCAAAGUUCAGAGGAGGGUGUGUGAUGUCACCAUCUGUGUAAAAGAGAGCAAAGGAUUUAAGAAUCCACUUGCAGCUAUAAGCAUACGCCACCUCUGACAGAUUCACAAAAGACCAAAAAUGUUGGUGUCCUCUAGGCAAGGGGACAGGGUGGUGACAGCAGGGAGACACAAUCCUGAUAAUACUUCUGCCUUCUCAAUGUAGAACCAAGCAGAUGUGUUUCUGAUUUUAAAAUUAAAUAAUUUAAAAUGCCUUCUGGUUUUAAAACAAAUGUUUCUCUCUUCUCUGUUCCUUAAGUCUAAGAAUCAUGUCCUGCCCCCACCCUCAAAUUUUAAGGUUUCUUGCUGUCAAUAGUCAUUCUUAAUAGGUUGCGGUAGCUCUGUUUGGAGUUUUUCCUCCCCCUAAAAAGCUUUUACUAAAUUGAGGCUGAGUCUUCAAAUAGGUGGUAUUUUAGAAUCAAGGAAACAUCGUAGAUUUUAAAAAAAGGUGGGCAUGUGAAAACCACUGUGUGGGGCAACUGGGCCAUCUUUCUUUUUCAAAAUGAUCUUCACUGUUAUGUUUGUAUCAUUUCUUCAGUUUUUCCUUAAAAUGAAACUUACACUGUUCUCAGGGAUCCAUCAACAGUUUGGGAAGAGUUCCCUAGGCCCAGGGAACAGAUGAUUGGCAACACAGUAACCCCAUGAAAGUCCCCAUUUCCUCAGCUUAGUUUAGCUUAAAUAAUUGACCCCAAAGGCCCUGGCUCUAUGUUUUGUUGUGUUACAAGGAAAGACUCCAUGACCUUGGGUUUUUCAAGAGACACCAUCUUCUAGGAGUUGAUUGACCCAAAAUAAAGAAAUAUGUGGUCACCAGGGAGUCUGUUCCAGCCAUUGGUUCACACCUGAGUUUGGUAGCAACUCUUGCUCUGAUGCACAAAACAAGUAUUGAGUUGGGAAUAUUGGUUCAGACAAGAGGCUGCUAGUCAGAUUGUCAUGAGGGAAGCCCACUGAAUAUUGUGACCAAAAGGUAGCUUUGGAACAUUGAUUGUGGCUUCCAGAAGUUCAGACGGUUCUGCGUAAGCUCUGUGGAUAAAGGACCUAUUGGUCAAAUGAAUACAGUUCAGAAAUAUGCAGAUGAAGUUGGCCCAUGGUGGAGCAUGCCCACAAUCCAGUGACCUGCACAUGGGAGGCUGAGACAGGAGGGCUGCAAAUUCAAGGCUAGCCAGGACAACUCACCAAGGCCCUUUCUCAAAAUUAAAAAAAAAAAAGUAAAAGGUCUGGAAAUGCAGCUCAGUGGUAGAGUGCUUGCCUAGCAUCAUGUGAGAGGCCCUGGAUUUGAUUCCCAGGAAAAACACACACACACACACACAAGAGCUAGGGAGAGAAAGACAAGCCCUUGGAGAGUCACCAUGCCAUCCUCCAUAUUAAAGGCACUAAAAAGUUCUGUGUGGCAGUUUGCCUUGGUUUCUGGCUUAUUCUUUCUCCUUUUUCCUGGUUAAACAAAUCCUAAUUCUGUUUACAUUCUUGGGGCAGCUAUGUCCUUUAGGGAAAGCAGGCCCUGGAACAAGGGAGAUUAAAAAAAGAGCAGAUAAACACAAUUCUGGCCAAUAAGAGAAGAAAUCUGCUGGGGGAUUAUGAGAAAGCUGUCUUUGUUCUUUGAAAACAGACUCACAAAAAUUCUGCAUCCAGUGAUGGCUGAGUAGCUCCCAUUGGGCCAAAACCUCCCACAUGACAAAAUUAUAAAACGCAAUUAUGAAAACACUUGAGAAAGAUCCAAACAGCAUGGAUACUGGGGAGCAGUCAAAGCUUGGAGGAAGGGAAUAGCACUGGAUGUUUGUUUUUAUUUUCUUGGAGCUUUUUGCCUAAGGAAAGCCACCAGCAAAGGUUACGUGAAUGUUUAAGCCCACAGUAGUCCUGGCAUGAAAAACCAGAGGACAGAAUUCUGGUGACCACAAAGCUGGACAGUGAGACAGGAAACCCUGCAAAGAUGAAGCCAUAAACAGGUAACUCCAGAUUCUGUGUCUAGACCCUGUACAUCACUGAACCCCACCUGUGUGGUAUAGACUCCAAGCAGCACAGCCAAGUCUAGAAGAUCUAAAUUAAGAUUUCAGCUCCUAUCCAACAGAGGGGAGACAGCAUUUCCAGUCUGAGAAUUCAGCCAAGUUAACAAACACAAAAAGCAGUAUAUUCAUUGGGAAAAUGAAAGGAAUCCAGAGUCCCUGCACUAUAAAGACACAAUGCUCAGGAUACCAUCCAGAGGUAGUUGACAUGAAAAGAAACAGGAAAAUGGGACCCAUAGAAAGAGAAGCAGAAGUCAACGGAAACCAAGUUCAAGAUGGUCCAGAUGUAAGAAUUAAAGACAAAGACUUUAAAGCAACCAUUAUAACCAUGUUCAAGAACAUAAAUGAAAGUAUGUUCAUAAUGAAUGAAAAGAUAGGAAAUCCAAGGGGAGAAUCAGCAACUAUAAAAAGAUCACAAUGGAAAUUCUGGAACUAAGAAUGUGACAAUUGAAAAAAAGAGACCAAUAAGAAAAAAUAGCCCUUUUUUUCUUUGCCUUUACCACCAUCAGGAUGUGGUGCUUGUUUCGCCACAGUUAUGAGGACAGCUGGCCUAACGAGGCCCAGGCACUAUGCCAUACAUGGCACAGCAAGACAAUGAACAGGACCUGGGUCCUUAAUGAUGUCAUCAAGCCACUAGAUUAACUGCCCGAGGGACUUCUCUGCUACCAGAUUUCUUGUAUUGGGAGAAAAAGAAAAUGUCUUUAUUUAAGCUAUUUCUGUUUGGGUUCUAUGUUACUUAUAUGAGAAAGAAAGCAUCAUAACCCUUGCCCCAAAGUUCACUAAAUGUAUGUCACCACAUCUUCUCCAAGUAAUAUCUAUCGACACACCCAGCAUGCUUAGUUCUGGUGUAGACCCUCGUUUCUGUCUUCUAAAUCUGCAUCAUUCAAGUUUAUCACCUGUAGAACAGCAAAGGCUACAGUCUAUUUUGACCAAAUUGGUGACUUGAAGUCUGCUGGGAAUGCAUUACCAGAAAGUUCAGGUUUGCAAAUUGCCGUUACUCAAAGUGUGAUGUGGGCAGCGUCAGCGUCUCAGCCCAUCCCAGCCUAUUGAAUCAGGGUCUGCACUUCAACAAGAGCCCAGGUGAGUCACGCGCACACUGGAGCUUGAGAAGACUCCUGAGAACUACAAGUGACAAUACAGGUGUUAGCUGUAUGUCACUAAUUAACAAAAAACUUCUUAAUCUGUUCUCAGAGACCUUCACAGAAUCAUUUCAUUUGGUUUUCACAGCAAUACUGAGAGAUUUUUAAAAAUCCAUUUAUAGACAAGGAAAUGAGAUUCAGAGAAGUAAAAUGACAUUUACAUGAUUAUGGAAAGACAGUGCUCUUCUUUGUUCUGAUACUGUGUCGUGGUUUUCAGUGAUUCAGACCUUCGGUGUCCAAACUGGGAGGUAAGUUCUUAGCACCCCACUGACCAUCUUUUUGUAUUCUCUGUUAGGAUUGUGCCUUUUUGUCCCUGAGGAGCACAUGAGCAGCCCCUUCUGUCUGCUUACCAAGGGCCUCAGCCCCUGUGACGGGCCAAGUUCACGGCUAUACCUAAUGAUAUACCUAAUGAUACAGCUAGUGACACAAGUGAGAAAUCCAGCAGCCACUGCAGCUGGGCUUGUCUGUUCAGCAAAUUCACCCAGGACCCAGACUCUUUCUAGCCUUAGGAGAUCCUCAGCUUUGGAGUUUUUCUCCUUGUGAUUGUGCCUCGUGGUCAUAAGACUGCUGCCACAGCUCUAAAUAGCAUAUUCACACUUAAGGUAAGAAGCAGUAGAAGAGGCUGCAAGGGCUUUCCUCCUGUGAUUGUCCAUUUUAGCAGGUAACAAAAAUCUUCCCCGAAGCACCCACUAGCUUACAUUUCAUAGCCAAAACGUGGUUCACAUGGCAGAAAAAGGCUGGGGGAGAAGACAUCUGGGUUUCAAUCUCUGUGUUAUGCAAUGGCAAAGAAGGGCCUGGGAAUGGUUUUGGAGCAAACUGAUGUGUUCAUCCCAAAUGAAGAAUAUGUGCUCAGUAACUAUCUGUGGAGGGUCUGAUUCUUGUGAUCUCAUUCUUUAUUUAUUUUCAGUACCAUACAAAGAGCUCUCUCAUCACUGCAAUGACUAACCAGUUUUGAACACAUCUUGAGUUUGUGCUGGGCCCCAGGCCAAGCAAGUUACAUGAAUUUUCUCAUUCUAUCUUUGCAACUCUAUGACAGACUUAUUAUUGAUCUCUGAUUUACAUAUGAAGAAAUUAAAUCCCAGAGUACUUAA